GUCAGGACGAACGCUGGCGGCGUGCCUAAUACAUGCAAGUCGAACGCUUCUUUUUCCACCGGAGCUUGCUCCACCGGAAAAAGAAGAGUGGCGAACGGGUGAGUAACACGUGGGUAACCUGCCCAUCAGAAGGGGAUAACACUUGGAAACAGGUGCUAAUACCGUAUAACAAUCGAAACCGCAUGGUUUUGAUUUGAAAGGCGCUUUCGGGUGUCGCUGAUGGAUGGACCCGCGGUGCAUUAGCUAGUUGGUGAGGUAACGGCUCACCAAGGCCACGAUGCAUAGCCGACCUGAGAGGGUGAUCGGCCACAUUGGGACUGAGACACGGCCCAAACUCCUACGGGAGGCAGCAGUAGGGAAUCUUCGGCAAUGGACGAAAGUCUGACCGAGCAACGCCGCGUGAGUGAAGAAGGUUUUCGGAUCGUAAAACUCUGUUGUUAGAGAAGAACAAGGAUGAGAGUAACUGUUCAUCCCUUGACGGUAUCUAACCAGAAAGCCACGGCUAACUACGUGCCAGCAGCCGCGGUAAUACGUAGGUGGCAAGCGUUGUCCGGAUUUAUUGGGCGUAAAGCGAGCGCAGGCGGUUUCUUAAGUCUGAUGUGAAAGCCCCCGGCUCAACCGGGGAGGGUCAUUGGAAACUGGGAGACUUGAGUGCAGAAGAGGAGAGUGGAAUUCCAUGUGUAGCGGUGAAAUGCGUAGAUAUAUGGAGGAACACCAGUGGCGAAGGCGGCUCUCUGGUCUGUAACUGACGCUGAGGCUCGAAAGCGUGGGGAGCAAACAGGAUUAGAUACCCUGGUAGUCCACGCCGUAAACGAUGAGUGCUAAGUGUUGGAGGGUUUCCGCCCUUCAGUGCUGCAGCUAACGCAUUAAGCACUCCGCCUGGGGAGUACGACCGCAAGGUUGAAACUCAAAGGAAUUGACGGGGGCCCGCACAAGCGGUGGAGCAUGUGGUUUAAUUCGAAGCAACGCGAAGAACCUUACCAGGUCUUGACAUCCUUUGACCACUCUAGAGAUAGAGCUUCCCCUUCGGGGGCAAAGUGACAGGUGGUGCAUGGUUGUCGUCAGCUCGUGUCGUGAGAUGUUGGGUUAAGUCCCGCAACGAGCGCAACCCUUAUUGUUAGUUGCCAUCA
rnacentral:rRNA from 1 species